CCGCAGCCGAGGUGCUCUACACAGUCAUCCAGGACUGGGCCCAACUGGAUGCGGGGAGCACGGUGCUGGACGUGUGCUGUGGCACCGGCACCAUUGGCCUGGCCCUGGCCCGGGGCCCCAUGUACUCCCCUCCCUGGGUGGGGCGACACCACGCUUUCCUGUUUCAGAAGGUAAAGAGGGUCAUUGGGGUCGAGCUAUGCCCAGAGGCUGUGGAGGACGCCCGGGUGAACGCCCAGGACAAUGAGUUGAGUAAUGUGGAGUUCCACUGCGGGAGGGCCGAGGACCUGGUGCCCACCCUGGUGAGCAGACUGGCCUCCCAGCACCUCGUGGCCAUCCUGGACCCACCCCGUGCUGGCUUGCAUUCCAAGGUGAUCCUGGCCAUCCGGAGAGCUAAGAACCUCAGGCGGCUGCUGUACGUCUCAUGCAACCCCCGGGCAGCCAUGGGCAACUUUGUGGAGUGAGUGUCUGCAGGGGCCUGGGUGGGGGCUAGGCCUGGUACCAAGCCCCCAGCUCCCACAGGAGCCCCUGAUUAGCCUAUCGGCUGACCUUAGCGCCCCCCUUUUCCCCCCACAGCCUCUGCAGAGCCCCAUCUAACCGGGUGAAGGGCAUUCCCUUCCGGCCGGUCAAGGCUGUGGCAGUGGACCUGUUCCCGCAGACCCCGCACUGUGAGAUGCUCAUCCUGUUUGAGAGGGUGGAGCACCCCAAUGGCACAGGGGUCUUGGGGCCCCACAGCCCUCCAGCUCAACCCACACCAGGACCCCCAGAUGACACCCUACAAGAAACUGGGACCUUCCCCUCAUCCUAGGCCCAGGACCCAUUAUGGGGACAGGAGCUGAAGGGCUCCCAGGGCCCCAGGGGCGGGGAAGGCAUGGCUUGCUGGCCAGGAUAUUCAGAGGUAGGCAGCCAAAGGGCACAGAACCCUGUGCCCCACCAGGAUUGGCCUGCUGCUAGGGGCCAGGGGCCCUGACCAGGAAGACAGGUGGGCUCCUGCAGCCUGUUCCCCAUCCCCAGGGCCUUUGUGGACUAGCCAAGGCUGUGAG
rnacentral:sRNA from 1 species